rnacentral:rRNA from 1 species
UACGAAGGGGGCUAGCGUUGUUCGGAAUUACUGGGCGUAAAGCGCGCGCAGGCGGUCUUCCAAGUCAGUGGUGAAAGCCCGGAGCUCAGCUCCGGAACUGCCAUUGAAACUGUUGGACUUGAGUAUGAGAGAGGUGAGUGGAAUUCCCAGUGUAGAGGUGAAAUUCGUAGAUAUUGGGAAGAACACCGGUGGCGAAGGCGGCUCACUGGCUCAUUACUGACGCUCAGGCGCGACAGCGUGGGGAUCAAACAGG